rnacentral:misc_RNA from 1 species
AAGUCGUAACAAGGUUUCCGUAGGUGAACCUGCGGAAGGAUCAUUAAUGAUUUUUUAAGCAUACCAAGCUUUUUUUAUAAAAAGUGAGGUUUUGCGAAUGUAUUUAAAACCCCCACUCUUAAAAAAUUAUAUAUUUCAUUCAUAUAAAAUGAAUAAAAAAAAGAUCACUUUCAACAACGGAUCUCUUGGCUCUC